rnacentral:rRNA from 1 species
UACGUAGGGGGCGAGCGUUGUCCGGAAUUAUUGGGCCUAAAGCAUCCGUAGCCGGUUUUACAAGUCCUCCGUUAAAUCCAACUGCUUAACAGGUGGGCCGCGGAGGAUACUAUAAGACUAGGAGGCAGGAGAGGCAAGCGGUACUCAGUGGGUAGGGGUAAAAUCCGUUGAUCCAUUGAAGACCACCAGUGGCGAAGGCGGCUUGCCAGAAUGCGCUCGACGGUGAGGGAUGAAAGCUGGGGGAGCAAACCGG